UACGUAGGGUGCAAGCGUUGUCCGGAAUUAUUGGGCGUAAAGAGCGUGUAGGCGGCCCGACCAGUCCGCUGUGAAAGUCCAGGGCUCAACCCUGGAAUGCCGGUGGAUACUGUCGGGCUAGAGUCCGGAAGGGGCGAGUGGAAUUCCUGGUGUAGCGGUGAAAUGCGCAGAUAUCAGGAGGAACACCGGUGGCGAAGGCGGGUCUCUGGGCCGAUACUGACGCUGAGGAGCGAAAGCGUGGGGAGCGAACAGG
rnacentral:rRNA from 1 species